rfam:Gossypium hirsutum cultivar TM-1 unplaced genomic scaffold scaffold2046.1, whole genome shotgun sequence
UGUUAAAAUUUUCAUCCAUUUCUACUGUUAAAAAUUGGGGUAACUAAGAAAAUAACCAAACAGUUACACGUGAUAUGUCACCUGUACCUCAUGUUGACGUACAAAAGCCAACAAUAAAAAUGGAUAGAGUUUUUAAGA